CUUGUCUUUUCAGCCAACCUGCGUCAUGGACAAGGAGUCUGUGGAGAGGUCCGUCUGGAGAGAGAAGAAGGCCCACAUCACCAAGUGGUUUAGAGGCCCCCAUUAUUGCUUUCUGGGGUUCCUGCUUGCCCUUGUUGGAUGGUUCUUCUGCAUUUUGGCCCUAGAAAGCCAAUGGCAAAUCCGGCAGGUGGGAAACAUCCGAGGAAUCCAAGAGCUUAAGAUUGGGCCAUGGAAAGUCUGUUUUGAGCACCAUCCUCUUGCCCAAUACGUGAAGACACACUGCAUACAAUUCUACCAACUAGAGAAUUCCGCCCUAACUGGAAUGGUGGUGGUUCGGUUUCUGAAUCUCCUCCCUCUCCCUCUCCCUCCUCCUCCCUUUUUAAGAGGAAACAGAAACUUAUUUUAUUCAGUUUCUGCUCAGCAGCACUAGUGAUAUUGCUAGUUGGCAUUGUUUUCGCCUUGCGGUUAUUAACCACAAUACCAAACAACCUUGUAGGUAGCACCAUCCUCUUGCCCAUGAUGUGAAGACACACUGCAUAAAAUUUAACCAAUUAGAGAAUUGCGCCCCAACUAGAAUGGCGGUGGCUCAGUUUCUAAAUCUCCUCUCUCCUUUUUUAAAAAAGGAAACAGAAACUUAUUUUAUUCAGUUUCUGCUCAGCAGCACUAGUGAUAUUGCUAAUUGGCAUUGUUUUCGUCUUGAGGUUAUUAACCAUGACACCAAACAACCUAGUAGGUAGCACCAUCCUUUUGCUCAAGAUGUGAAGACACACCAGGGCCGGUUCAAGGCUAUACGCAACUACGCGGCCGCUGGUGGCGCUGUUGUCCCAGGGGCGCCAGAGGCGCCUGUGCGUGUGCAUGCGCACGCGCGCACCCCUGCCUCCUCCUUCCAGCCAGGGUUUCAAUCAGAAACCCCACACCAACAUUCACGCACAGCACCAUCGCCCAAAAGCGCCCUCCCUCUUCUCCCUCCCUCCUUCCUCUUUUACCUGGUCUCCCUUUCUGCCUUGAAGCCAGGCUUUGAGGCUGCGGCGGGGGCGGGGCCUAAGGGCACGCACCUCCCAGGAGACCACGCCCCCUGCUUCCGAAGGAGUGCCUUGGAAGUGCCCUUCGGCCCCGGCCCUUCCGCAGCCCGUGCAUGGCCUGAUGAAGAUGGCGGUUUCCAUGGGCUGUCUGGCCAUGUUCCAAAAGCAUUCUCUCCUGAUGUUUUGCCUGCAUCUAUGGCAAGCACCCUCAGUGGUUGCAAGAUUUGUAACCACUCUCCACUUGAGAACCUGAUAUCGAGAGGUCAAUCACCCCCUGCUUUCAAGUUAAUCUGACCUGCGGCAGGGAGUUCCACAGGUCCCAAGACCCACAAUUGGAUGGAAUGGGGUGGGAACAUGAUCCAGUCUGCAGCCACCCAUCUGAAAUGCUUCUUCUGAUCUCUUUCCUAACCCCAACCUUGUAACAAAUCCCCUAAUAAAAUGUUUCCUAACUUGCAACUUUA